rnacentral:rRNA from 1 species
UACGGAGAGGGCAAGCGUUGUUCGGAAUCACUGGGCAUAAAGCGCACGUAGGCGGAUUGGAAAGUCAGUUGUGAAAGCCCGGGGCUCAACCCCGGAAUUGCUUCUGAAACUUCCAGUCUUGAGGGUGAGAGGGGAGAGUGGAACUUCUGGUGGAGCGGUGAAAUGCGUAGAGAUCAGAAGGAACACCGGUGGCGAAAGCGACUCUCUGGCUCAUUUCUGACGCUGAGGUGCGAAAGCUUGGGUAGCGAACGGG